UACGUAGGGUGCGAGCGUUAAUCGGAAUUACUGGGCGUAAAGCGUGCGCAGGCGGUUCGCCAAGUCAGGUGUGAAAUCCCCGGGCUUAACCUGGGAAUUGCGCUUGAAACUAGCGGGCUUGAGUGUGGCAGAGGGGGGUGGAAUUCCACGGUGUAGCAGUGAAAUGCGUAGAGAUGUGGAGGAACACCGAUGGCGAAGGCAGCCCCCUGGGUCAACACUGACGCUCGAUGCACGAAAGCGUGGGGAGCAAACAGG
rnacentral:rRNA from 1 species